CAACUUGAGAGUUUGAUCCUGGCUCAGAGCGAACGCUGGCGGCAGGCUUAACACAUGCAAGUCGAACGGGCGUAGCAAUACGUCAGUGGCAGACGGGUGAGUAACGCGUGGGA
rnacentral:rRNA from 1 species